CUGUAAAAGCCUUUCAGCAGCCAGAAA
rnacentral:piRNA from 1 species